rnacentral:rRNA from 1 species
UACGGAGGUGCGAGCGUUGUCCGGAAUCACUGGGCGUAAAGGGCGCGUAGGCGGCUCAUGAAGGCUGUGGUGAAGUCCGGGGCUCAACCUCGGAUCGGCCGUGGCGACUCGUGGGCUGGAGCACUUGUAGAGGCGGGUGGAAUUCCGGGUGUAGCGGUGGAAUGCGUAGGAGAUCCGGAAGAACACCAGUGGCGAAGGCGGACCCGCUGGGCAGUGGCUGACGCUGAGGCGGCGACAGGCGUGGGGAGCAAAC